GCUUUGAAGCUGUGUUUGUAUUGCAGGCUUUUUCUUAGAGGCAGUGUUGAUUCCGGGGAUACAGAGUAGGGCUGGGGGAUACUGGGUUUCUAGUCUUUAAAAAUUGUAAUACACUAUUCGGCACCUGGAUGGCUCAGUUGGUUAAACAUCUGACUCUUGAUUUUAGCUCAGGUCGUGAUCUCAUGGUUUUGUGGGUUUGAGCCCCACUUUGGCCACCAAUAGCGUGGGGCCUACUUGGGAUUCUCUCUGCCCCUCUCCACUCAAAGACUUGCUCUCUCUCUCUCUCUAUCUCUCUCAAAAUAAAUACACUUUAAAGAAAAACACCUGUAACACACCAGUUUAUUGACACGCAUGCCCAUGAUUAUCUUUUCUUUCUAGAAGCCAAGGCUGAGGCAUCCUCUAAGGGCCAAAGGCGAGGGUCCCUUCCUCCCAAUUUACAUGGUUCCCCUGAUGCUGAAAACUCCCCUUGUCUCAAGGGCCCUCCCAUGGGGAAUCUGACUUCACACCUCCAGGGCCCUCUUUAAAAAAAAAAAAAAAGUAUCAUAUUCUUAACUUUUUAACAAGUUUUAUUUAUUUAAGUAAUCUCUACGCCCAACGUGAGGCUUGAACUCACGACUCCGAGAUCAAGAGUCACACGCUAUUCCACCUGAGCCAGCCAGGCAUCCCUCCAGGGCCCUCUUGAGGCGGUUUCUCUGGCAGGUGGCUAGCCAGCAUCUCCCAGCACCUUCCAACAGCUUGACCAUCUGCUUAUAUUUAAGGAUUCUUUAACACAUUCGGGACAAAACUAUGGGAAAGAAAUUGACAUUUGUUCAGUACUAUGUGCCAAGCACUGAAUCAGGCAUCUACAUGCACCGAUUCACUGGGGCAAGUUACUUGACCUUCCUGUGCCUCUGCUUCCUUGUCUGUACGGACACCCCCAACGGUACUGGGACGUCACCAGAGGAACAUUGUGGACGAGGAUACACGAUGAGCCGAACAAGGUCUGGGGUGGGAAGCACUCGAUACAUGAGCCCCGAGCCACCUGGCAGUGUCCGUGACUCUGAAGGAUCGACAGGCCAAUCCCAGACCGCUCACAGUCUGACAAGACCCAGGCCCGAUACCUCGAUGGGUUUCAUCAGAGGUGUGGUGUCUGAAGAAAGCAGUGGAAGGGAGCUGGUGAGAAGGCAGACAGAUUCAGGAGGUCUGCAAGCUCCCAGGGGAAGCCGAUGCUGUUGGCCUUGGACACGCUUGAGCAGGGUCCUGGGGACGGACGCACUUGACACAAGGCUGGCAUCUACCCCUGUGCCAGGAGGGUGGGACGGAAACUUCCUUAGGCCUUCCACCUGCACCACCCUGCCUCAUAUCGA